GGGAUAACGUUUGGAAACGAACGCUAAUACCGCAUAAGACCACACUUCCACAUGGGAGAGGGGUCAAAGGAGCAAUCCGCUGAAAGAUGGGCUCGCGUCCGAUUAGAUAGUUGGGGGGGUAACGGCCCACCAAGUCGACGAUCGGUAGCUGGACUGAGAGGUUGAACGGCCACAUUGGGACUGAGACACGGCCCAGACUCCUACGGGAGGCAGCAGUGAGGGAUAUUGGUCAAUGGGGGAAACCCUGAACCAGCAACGCCGCGUGAGGGAAGACGGUUUUCGGAUUGUAAACCUCUGUCCUCUGUGAAGAUAAUGACGGUAGCAGAGGAGGAAGCUCCGGCUAACUACGUGCCAGCAGCCGCGGUAAUACGUAGGGAGCGAGCGUUGUCCGGAUUUACUGGGUGUAAAGGGUGCGUAGGCGGGUAAGCAAGUCAGAAGUGAAAUCCAUGGGCUUAACCCAUGAACUGCUUUUGAAACUGUUUAUCUUGAGUGAAGUAGAGGUAGGCGGAAUUCCCGGUGUAGCGGUGAAAUGCGUAGAGAUCGGGAGGAACACCAGUGGCGAAGGCGGCCUACUGGGCUUUAACUGACGCUGAAGCACGAAAGCGUGGGUAGCAAACAGGAUUAGAUACCCUGGUAGUCCAUGCCGUAAACGAUGAUUACUAGGUGUGGGGGGACUGACCCCCUCCGUGCCGGAGU
rnacentral:rRNA from 1 species